GGAAACAGCACAAGAAGAUUAAACAGUAAUGAAAUCAUGUGCAUUAAAAGUGAAGAUAAAGAUCCAGGAAGUCUUGAAAACUUAAACAACAGUUCUUUGACUCUGUCAGAUAAACUUCAGUCCAGUCAGGACACCCUGGACCUCUGAGGUUUGACUGAAGGAAGUGAAUAUGACAUCAAUGUGAAAUGGAUAGAGGAUGUGUUGAAGUGUUGAGUUGUUAAAUUUGAAAUCAGAAAAGGUUGAGCAAAAAUGUUUCUAAAUGGUACCUCUGUCUGUCCAGUUCGGCAGAUAAACUGACUUGUGUCUGACCAGAAACUAAACUGCAGUGCACACACUUCCUCUCUUAGAGGCUCUGCUUUCACCAGGUACUCUCUCUGUUAGUAGUUCUUAUCGGAACACUCUAUUCCUCUUUCUGAGUGUAACAUCCACUAGCUGAAUGGACUCUGACCACACCGGAUGAGCACAAACACAUGAUCUGAUUGAAGUACAACCACUUCCCAGUCCUGCCCCCCCACUAGUCCAGACUAACUGAGGAUGUGCAGCUGUUAGCAUUGCUAACUGUUUAGCCCAGUGAAACUGUUGUGCGACUAAAGGAGCAUAAUACACACUGGAUGAUCUCAAAAUAUCAGGGGCUGGACAACACCACUCAGAAAUCUCUUUCUUUAACACUGGAGGCACACAGGUUCGUUUUACUCAUGAGACAUGAGAAGUGAAUCCCCAAAAUAAAAUACUAUAUUCAAUUACAAUUUUCUAAAAAUGUACUCUUUUAAAAACCAGACACCAUUCACACUAGGGGCAAACAAAAGAAAAGAAAUGUAAUGAGUUGCUGAGCUUACCAGGUGGAUGGAGGUAGCGAAGGGGAGAAGAAUCCCCCAAAAUAAUGCAAAAACACCCAGACGUGACACACACUCAUGAUAACAUGAACCAACUCCUCAGGGAACACAGCAGACAACAAGGAGGAGGACACCAGCAGCUGAAAAGGAAAAGAAGCAUGUUAUUUGGAGAACACAAACAAUUAAUACAACAGAACAUACUACCAAAACAAAAUAUAUCAAAAGGUGCGGUUUCAGAUUAAACUAUGUAAAUCAUGCAAAACACUAAAUGCUCCAAACAAAACAAACAGAAACAACAAUCAACCAAUAAACAAAAUAAUCAAAGCAAUAGAAUUUCUCCAAUCAUACAAUUAAAAUGAAACUCAUUAAUUAUGGAGCAUUCGGUCCGUACACUCAACACACAGUCAACAGUUCAAUUCAUCAAAAAUGAAAAAACAAAAAGUAAGAUUAAGAAACUAAUUCACCUGGUAAAAGCUCCACAUGUUGAGCACCAGGUUCUGGAAAAACGUUUUGAAUGGUACUGUGUGAGUUGGAAACUAAAAGAAGAAGAGAUGUUUUUGAAAUGCUGAAGUAAUAUUAACUUCAUUUUGUACAUCCAAUUUUUAACUAAGAAAGCAGAAAUGGGUAUUUUUUUAAGUCGUUAACAGUGAAAUAUUGACUCAACUGUAUUUAUUUUUGCUGAUGUUCUCUGCAUGUCUUUAUUAAUGGACUGUCUCCAUCCCCACAUACACCCACCUGUUAAGAGAUUUUAUGCACUUUGAGAGACUGGAUUGUUUUUUAUCAGAUUUUUUUGCUGUUUAUUAGUUCAUUAAGAUGUUUAAAUUUUAAUAUGAUGUAGUUUUAUUCAUGUUUCUAUUGCACUGCAGUCACUGAUCGAGAAACGAAAUUUUGUUCUCGUGUAUGAAAAUGACAAUAAAAUCUUUGACCUACA